rnacentral:rRNA from 1 species
UACGUAGGCAGCGAGCGUUGUUCGGAAUUACUGGGCGUAAAGAGUGUGUAGGCGGUGCUCUAAGUUCGGUGCGAAAUCUCCUGGCUCAACUGGGAGGGUGCGCCGGAAACUGGAGUGCUUGAGCGUGGGAGAGGAAAGCGGAAUUCCUGGUGUAGCGGUGAAAUGCGUAGAUAUCAGGAGGAACACCUGUGGUGUAGACGGCUUUCUGGACCAUAGCUGACGCUGAGACACGAAAGCGUGGGUAGCAAACAGG